rnacentral:misc_RNA from 1 species
GAGAGAAGAAAGCUCUAGCCUGCAAGCCUCAUCUAAGUCAUCUCUCCAGCUCCUCUGUAUAAAGGCUAACCUCUUUUGCCUCUACUAUACGCAGCGAAAACCACCGCAAAAGCACCACCCAACACAGAAAAAGACAUUUAUAAACGAUUAAUCAAGAAAAAAGUGAAGCACUGAUGAUGAAUGACCAAAAGGUGCCGCCACCGGAGGUGGCUGUCCAGCUACCGGAGUCCAAGGUGGCCGCGACGGAGAACAGUGGCACAAUGAGUGGACCGCUGAUAAGGACGCCGAGGUCUUUUGGCCGGAAAGCUGAAGUCUUGCACGCGGCACUUAGGUUGUUGUGCAUGGUGACAUCUGUGGCAGCACUGUCGUUUAUGGUCACAGCCCAUCAGUCCAGCUCUGUCUCCAUCUAUGGAUUUAUGCUUCCUGUUUACUCAAAGUGGUCAUUCUCUCACUCAUUCGAGUAAGUUGCUAAGUUUCUUGGGUCUACUUAAUUGCCAAAAUGUUGUGUCUUUGUUUAUUAUUCAUGCUUUUUUUGUUCUUGAUCAUGAUGUUUCCAUCGUUUGGUUGCUGAGAAAGUGAGGGAAAAUCAGAGAGAAUGGUAUUUUGGAGAUUACAUCAUUGCCAUGUAACGGAGGUAUCUAGUUGGAGUCUCAGCAGCUGUAGUUGCACACUCCUUGCUGCAACUGCUAAUUAGCAUGUCAAGGCUAGUUAGAAAAUCUCCAGUGAUUCCAUCAAGAAGCCAUGCUUGGCUUCUUUUUGCAGGAGAUCAGGUAUUAGAUUAAUGACUUUCAUACGUGGGUAAUGCUAUAUUCAUGUGCUUGGCUUUAUUUCCGUUCCCUUAUAUUGGAAGAGUUCUACAUGCUUUGGUUAUGCCAACAGAAUCUUGGUAAUUAAUUUUAUGGAACAAAGCCAUAUCAGUAGGAAGGAAAUGUUUAUCAUCAACCAAUGAACUAUACAGGUUAAUGGCAGGGAUUUCUGGUUAGCGGUCGCGGAGAAGAUGAGCAUUAAUCAUUUGAAGACUAUCUUGAUGUGUUGAAGUGCUAAAGCAAAUGAAAUUUUGUGUCCUAAGUUUUUUUAUUUAUCAUAACAUCUAACAGAAUCAAAACAGGGUUAGAAACUGAUGCAAGUUGCAGUUCCUCUUGCUCUAGUGGGAAAAAAAAUGAAGGGAGACUUGGACUGUUGCCUUUCUCUUGGCGAAAAUGUCGUUCUUGUGUUGUUAAGUCAGGCCUCAAUACUCUACGCUUGCAUCAUAACAUGCUAUAUAAUAAAAGAACUCCUUUCAAUGUCUUGCACAUCUAUAUAAAAUUUCACAUUCUGUCUUUUGGUAGAUAGAAAUUUCACAUUUCUACAUUUUUUGGCAGAGAAUAUUUUGUUGUAGCUCAGAAUCAUGUAGCUGAACCUGGUUUUCACUUUGUGCAUAGCUAUCUGCAUUGCUUGUGAAUUUUUCAUUAAUUCAGUUUAACCUCAAGCACAAAUAGUUCUUUAUAAGGGUCUGAUUAAUCUCCAAGUUUGCAGGUGUUGUCGUAUGCAAUGAUUAGUGCUGGGGCUGCUGCAUCAGGAGUCUCCAACCUGAACCGCACUGGAAUCCAACAUACGCCUUUACCAAAUUUCUGCAAGCCUCUUCACUACUUCUGUGACCACGUUGCCAUCUCUAUAGCCUUCACUUUCUUCAGCUGCUUCUUGCUUGCUGCAUUGGCCAUUCAGGAGGUUAUGUGGCUCUCCAAGUCAAAGUAUUGAAGUUCCUUUGCGUCCCAUAGUCUGCACUCCCAUAUCAGCAUGAUCUACUUGUAGCAAAUAUAUGUAUCCUCUUAUUAGUUCCACUGAUCUACUUUCUUUUGGACAAUUUUGUAAUUUAUCAUGUUUAAGUUGACUUUGUAAAGAAGAGGAUGGGGCAUAUCUGAUAAUGACACCAUGUCCUAAUUCAGUGAUUAUGACCAGAUUGUUGAAAGCCUUGUCCUAAUGGCUUUGGGAUGGCCAUUGUUUCUAGCAAGGCUAUGAAUUAGGCAGUCCAUUUCAACAAGGACGGUACUCGUUCCCAGUUGAUCUCACCCAUUGUUUGAUCCUUUGGGGUGGUCUUUUGGGUUGUCAAUGGUAUCAUUGCAUGCAAGCAAAGGACUAAAGCUAUUUGUAAAGAAUAUGUUGGUUUUAUGUUUGAAAUAAUAGUCAUAAAAAUCAAGAAUAAUACCUAAACUGUCG